CGUGUGAAUGCACCGCUACGCAGGCCACUCAGCUCGGAGGUGGAGUCCAGGUGUGAGUGUUUCUGCUCUCCGCCAUAGCAAUGAGGGCAGCUAGCUGCUGAGAGGGAAAAAAGAGAAAACUCUGGAAUUAAACCGUGAAAAGAGAAAGAGAGAGCCAGGACACUUACCUCCUGGAAGUCCGGGGCCGAGUGACUACACAAAGGAGACAAGUGACGUCGGCUAACCUUCCACCUGGAAGAGCCGCUGCAGGCUUCUACAUCGGUGUCCUCGGCUUUGGACCACAGAGCAACGGUCAGGUUUUUGAGAGGACGGGGAAAAUCCAGACCAGGACAAGAUUGUGGUCGUGACAGAUGGAGAGCCAGGAACGUUGAGGAAGAAUCACAGCGAAGGAGGAAAGAGAAAACGGAGUUGGAAAAAGACUACAGGAUUCAUUUCCAGGACUCAUAACUGUGCACUGUGUGGCACAUCGCUUGAAUCUUGUUGUGUCUGACUGCAUGAAGGUGGGAGCACCAUAUAUGCCAGAACUGUCUGAACUAUCUUCUGGUUUUACCAGGCCUCCCCCAACAGGACUAACAGCCUCAAAGAAAUGGAGAGGCUUUUUGAACUGCCCCAAAUCAAACUACAGGAAGGGAACGCUACCAGGUGGGAGUCAAAUAAGGAAGCAACAGAUGUGAUACGGAGGAUUCUGCCUACUCUUGUUGCGGACCUCUCUCUCCAAGCCCGGACUGAACCAACAGCUCGGGGACUGUAUUCCUUUGUAAAGCACGAGUUCUUUCCCCCUGCACUGUGCCUAAACAGGGUUUUUCCUGCAUAGAGAAUUUGGUGGCGGCCGCCACCGCCAAAUUCCUUACCGCCACUAGCUCACGGCUGGUUUUCAAUAGGUAAUUUCACCAAGCGUUUCCCUGUCGGGAUCUGUCAUUUCAUUCAUAUGUAACUGCAAUUGCACGCAACCACCAGUAGUGGUGGUGGCGGCAGCGUUGUGUCGAAAUUAGCACCGGCCGACAUGUCAAACAAAGCAUCUUUUACUGCCACAUCCAGAGAGACGAAGAAGAGGAAGUUUUCACUGCAACAAACACGGAUGAUGUCAGAUCAACAAAAAAGGGUUACUAUUGUUUCUUCUGCACCCAAACAUGUCCAGUUCCUUUGAAAAAGUUAAUGUUUCAUGCUACAUAAAUUCAUAUUACCAGUGUUAGUUAACAAUAUCAGUUUUGCAGGUAUGGCGAAAUGUAAGAUCAGCAAAUUUUUUACAAAACAAGUGUGAGAAGAGGAGAGACAAGACAGGUGAAGGAGUGUAGACACUGAAGACAGGGAGCUAAAAUGCAAUAAUUUGUGUUAUUGAUGAGAUGUGGUAAAUUUGUCAGAUACGUAAGCAAUACAGCUCAGCCUCAGCCAGAAGCCGAAGACGAGGGUGAUGAAGAGAGUGAAGCCCCACUGCAGGACAGCGAGUCAAGCCGAGGGUAUUCAGGCAGUCAUUGCGGUGUCAAUAUAAGUUGAAAAUAUAAAUGACGUUAUAAUGAUUUUACAGUAACUCUUUAUUCUUUCCAGGUUUAAAAAACACAGAGCCAGUGGUUUUGACUCGCAAUGGCUCAACACAUUUACCUGGCUUAGAAUGGCAUGACAUAUUAUGUCACUGGAGGAGGUGCUUCUAUGGCUUGUUUCCCCUGAACCCUCUCUACUGUAUCCUGCUCUCAGCAUUGCAGCUGCAAUAGCCCUGACAGCACCUGUCCCGGCAGCAGAUGUUAAGAGGCUAUUUUCUGCACUCAAGAUUAUAAAAACACCCCUGUGCAACAGACUUAAGGAGAGGCACCUGGAUGUAUGCUGUAAGGUGGCCAUUGAUGGUCCAAACCAGGAGGUCUUUGAGUACAAAGACUCUACAGGAUGAAACCAAGGAGGGUCACAUGUUCUGCCACUGGCUGUGCUUUGUGCUGCCAGGUAAAUGAACUGAAAGCUAAACAAAGCACAUAAAAAAUAAAUGAA